AGCAGUCGCGCGGUAAAACGGGGGGCGCGAGCGUUACCCGGAUUUACUGGGCGUAAAGGGCGUGUAGGCGGCCUGGGGCGUCCCAUGUGAAAGGCCACGGCUCAACCGUGGAGGAGCGUGGGAUACGCUCAGGCUAGAGGGUGGGAGAGGGUGGUGGAAUUCCCGGAGUAGCGGUGAAAUGCGCAGAUACCGGGAGGAACGCCGAUGGCGAAGGCAGCCACCUGGUACACUUCUGACGCUGAGGCGCGAAAGCGUGGGGAGCAAACCGGAUUAGAUACCCCGGUAGUCCCUGUCUCUUAUACA
rnacentral:rRNA from 1 species